UAGGAUUCGUAAGGAGACAGUAACACGAUGAUCAAAUAAAUUACAGAUCCGUUAUUAAAUCGAAGAGCAUAAUCGUGUAGGGACAGAUGAUAUCAGAGAGAACAAAAAAGAAAAGAAAAAAUGGCAAAGAAAAAAUAAAAAG